CGCACGGGUGAGUAACGCGUAUACAAUUUACCUUAUACAGGAGGAUAGCCUUUAGAAAUGAAGAUUAAUACUCCAUGGCAUUAUGAUAUGGCAAAUCAUAUUAUAAUUAAAGAUUUAUCGGUAUAAGAUGAGUAUGCGUCCUAUUAGUUAGUUGGUAAGGUAAUGGCUUACCAAGACUUCGAUAGGUAGGGGUCCUGAGAGGGAGACCCCCCACACUGGUACUGAGACACGGACCAG
rnacentral:rRNA from 1 species